rnacentral:piRNA from 1 species
CAUGAUUUUGAUGGGCCUCUAGCACC